GGUGUUGCAAGUUCUUUGAAUUGUUUUUGGCUGUUUUUUGUUGUUUCAGAGCAAGCCAAAUGUUCAUAAUGGAUCUAACAAGAUGGUGAUCUGUCCAGCAGUCUUCAGUUCCUUGCAUGGCUCAUGUGAUAAGAACAUCCAUUGGAUCAUGGGCUCUAAUAAUAACAUAGUCAAGGAGGUAUCAGUACUUUGAGUGAGGGUGUCUCCAGGUGGUCUUACAUUUGUCACUCUGUCUGAAGAUGGUGUUCAUCAUGACAAGGCCAGGCUCCGCACAUUUGCUUGAGAGAAGGUUGCC